GCUGCUAUAGGAUAAUAGCUCAUCCAUCGGUCUUAGGAACCGAAAACUCUCGGUGCAACCCCAAGUAGUAGCU
rnacentral:tRNA from 2 species